rnacentral:rRNA from 1 species
AUACGUAGGUGGCAAGCGUUGUCCGGAAUUAUUGGGCGUAAAGCGCAUGUAGGCGGUUUGGUAAGUCGGUCGUGAAAAUGCGGUGCUUAACGCCGUAUGGCGAUUGAAACUGCUGAACUUGAGUGCAGGAGAGGAAAGGGGAAAUCCCAGUGUAGCGGGGAAAUGCGUAGAUAUUGGGAAGAACACCGGUGGCGAAGGCGCCUUUCUGGACUGUGUCUGACGCUCAGAUGCGAAAGCCAGGGUAGCGAACGGGAUUAGAUACCCCGGUAGUCCUGGCCGUAAACGAUGGGUACUAGGUGUGGGAGGUAUCGACUCCUUCCGUGCCGGAGUUAACGCAAUAAGUACCCCGCCUGGGGAGUACGGCCGCAAGGCUUAAACUCAAAUGAAUUGACGGGG